rnacentral:rRNA from 1 species
GAAGGCAAGCGGAGUCUCUUAAAGACUGUUCUCAGUUCGGACUGCAGUCUGCAACUCGACUGCACGAAGCUGGAAUCGCUAGUAAUCGCGGAUCAGCACGCCGCGGUGAAUACGUUCCCGGGCCUUGUACACACCGCCCGUCACACCAUGGGAGUCGGUAACACCCGAAGCCUGUAGUCUAACCGCAAGGGGGACGCAGUCGAAGGUGGGAUUGAUGACUGGGGUGAAGUCGUAACAAGGUAGC